rnacentral:rRNA from 1 species
GUAGGCUGNAACUCGCCUACAUGAAGUCGGAGUUGCUAGUAAUCGCGGAUCAGAAUGCCGCGGUGAAUGCGUUCCCGGGUCUUGUACACACCGCCCGUCACACCAUGGAAGUUGGGGGCGCCCGAAGUUGCCUAAGAAAUAAGGUACCUAAGGCGAAACCAAUGACUGGGGUGAAGUCGUAACAAGGUAUC